rnacentral:rRNA from 1 species
UGGGGAAUUUUGGACAAUGGGGGCAACCCUGAUCCAGCCAUGCCGCGUGUGGGAAGAAGGCCUUCGGGUUGUAAACCACUUUUGUCGGGAACGAAACGGUCUGUGAUAACACCAUAGGCUAAUGACGGUACCCGAAGAAUAAGCACCGGCUAACUACGUGCCAGCAGCCGCGGUAAUACGUAGGGUGCAAGCGUUAAUCGGAAUUACUGGGCGUAAAGCGUGCGCAGGCGGUUAUGUAAGACAGAUGUGAAAUCCCCGGGCUUAACCUGGGAACUGCAUUUGUGACUGCAUAGCUUGAGUGCGGUAGAGGGGGGUAGAAUUCCACGUGUAGCAGUGAAAUGCGUAGAGAUGUGGAGGAAUACCGAUGGCGAAGGCAGCCCCCUGGGCCGUAACUGACGCUCAUGCACGAAAGCGUGGGGAGCAAACAGG